rnacentral:rRNA from 1 species
CACGUAGGCGGAUAGGCAAGUCAGAUGUGAAAGCCCGGGGCUUAACCUCGGAAUUGCAUUUGAUACUGUCUGUCUUGAGUAUGGUAGAGGGGGAUGGAAUUCCCGGUGUAGAGGUGAAAUUCGUAGAUAUCGGGAGGAACACCAGAGGCGAAGGCGAUCCCCUGGGCCAUUACUGACGCUGAGGUGCGAAAGCGUGGGGAGCAAACA